rnacentral:tRNA from 1 species
AUUUAAAUAGUUUAAAUAAAAAUUGUGGUUUGUGGUUCCAUAGAUAUAAUAAUGUUAUUUUAAAUA